GACGAACGCUGGCGGCGUGCCUAAUACAUGCAAGUCGAGCGGACAGAAGGGAGCUUGCUCCCGGAUGUUAGCGGCGGACGGGUGAGUAACACGUGGGUAACCUGCCUGUAAGACUGGGAUAACUCCGGGAAACCGGAGCUAAUACCGGAUAGUUCCUUGAACCGCAUGGUUCAAGGGUGAAAGACGGUUUCGGCUGUCACUUACAGAUGGACCCGCGGCGCAUUAGCUAGUUGGUGAGGUAACGGCUCACCAAGGCGACGAUGCGUAGCCGACCUGAGAGGGUGAUCGGCCACACUGGGACUGAGACACGGCCCAGACUCCUACGGGAGGCAGCAGUAGGGAAUCUUCCGCAAUGGACGAAAGUCUGACGGAGCAACGCCGCGUGAGUGAUGAAGGUUUUCGGAUCGUAAAGCUCUGUUGUUAGGGAAGAACAAGUGCAAGAGUAACUGCUUGCACCUUGACGGUACCUAACCAGAAAGCCACGGCUAACUACGUGCCAGCCGCCGCAGUAAUAC
rnacentral:rRNA from 1 species